rnacentral:rRNA from 1 species
UACGGAGGGUGCAAGCGUUAAUCGGAAUUACUGGGCGUAAAGCGCACGCAGGUGGCUGAGUCAGUCGAUUGUGAAAGCCCUGGGCUUAACCUGGGAAUUGCAGUCGAUACUACUCAGCUAGAGUAUGGGAGAGGGCAGUGGAAUUCCCGGUGUAGCGGUGAAAUGCGUAGAGAUCGGGAAGAACAUCGGUGGCGAAAGCGCUCUACUGGGCCAUAACUGACACUCAGGGACGAAAGCUAGGGGAGCGAACGGG